rnacentral:misc_RNA from 1 species
CACGAACCGGACAAACGUUAUUCGGAAUCACUGGGCUUAAAGGGUGCGUAGGCGGCCCGGAAGGUGGGGUGUGAAAUCCCUCGGCUCAACCGAGGAAUUGCGCUUCAAACCGCCGGGCUCGAGCAAGACAGAGGUGAGCGGAACUGAUGGUGGAGCGGUGAAAUGCGUUGAUAUCAUCAGGAACACCGGUGGCGAAAGCGGCUCACUGGGUCUUGUCUGACGCUGAGGCACGAAAGCUAGGGGAGCGAACGGG